rnacentral:rRNA from 1 species
GUCUAGUCGAGUUGAUCGAGAUAGGUGCAUUUUGACGAGCCGUUCAUUCCUAACCGUCGGAUAAUUUCGGAAAGAAGCCCACCAGGCCCAAGCAUCACGCACGAACCCUCCUCUCAGAGCCUGUUCACGGCCGCCGCCACCUAGGUCUGCGCCGCCGUCGCUGGGUGUCGCCGCCGAUCGGUCUCCGCCAACGUAGCCAACGCGGGGGACUCUCCCUCCACCAGUUCUUGCUGCGCGGUGUCUGCCUGCAUCCGGAUCGCGCCACUGUUCCAGCAGUUAACCGCCAAAGCGCUGACGAGUCACAAACUUCGAGAUGGUGGCGGCGGCAGCUGCGGGGAAGCGGAAGCGAGAUCUCUCCGAGGACGAGGUGUACCUCAUCCUCCACAAGUCGGUCCUUCUCCUCAACCUUCGCGCUACUCGCCGCUUCUCCUGGGCCCGCCCUAGGGUUUUAGUGCGCCGCUCAAUCUUGCUGCAGGUACUCGCCUGCGACAAUCCUGACGGUGCUUCAGGAGGUGGCGCAGCACGCGGAGAGAAGGAGCAUCGACUGGAGGGCGCUGGUGGCCAAGACAGCCACGGGGAUCACCUCCGCCCGCGAGUACCAGAUGCUUUGGCGCUACAUCGCCUACCGACAUGACUUCAUCGAGAACGCCGAGGACAUCGGCGCCCAGCCUCUGGGUGAUGAGAGCGACUUGGAAUGUGAGAUUGAACCCUUUCCUAAGCCGAGCAACGAAGCUGCAGCUGAGGCCUCCCGGUUCGCGAAGAUCUUAAUCUAUGGACCUUCACGUGAGCAAGGUUCUAGUCAUCGUGUUAACUCAGAAGUUCCUCUGCUAAACACUCCAAAUGAGAAGAUACCGCGUGUUCCAUCUGACAAACAGCUUGCUCAGAGCCAUCGUCUAACAAAUAGUACAGGUCCAGUUUCCAACUCAAAACAGGCAUCCCAUACAGGGUUAUCUCCUGAUCCUUUUGAAUGGAAUGGACCUCAUAAAAAGACAAAGAAGCCUAAAGCAUGGUCCAACAAGGAGGAUGCAGACUUAAUGGAUGGUGUACAUAAGUGUGGUGAAGGAAAUUGGCUGAACAUUCUGCGUAAAUAUAACUUCGAUAGCACAAGAACUUAUGUUCAAUUAUCUCAGAGAUGGGCAGUCAUUUGCAGGCGUCAAGGAACAACCAAGCUUGCUAAAGCUAAAUCAGUCACCACGGAGUUUGAUAUAAAAGCUACUCAAAAGGCAUUCUCUAUGGCUCUUGAUAUGCCUAUGGGGAAGCCUGGUGGAUUCUCUACAUUAAGAUUAGGAGCUUCACAACAAAGCGCUCAACAUCCUGCUCCAGUAUUCGUUGCUGCGGCACCUGAGUUAAAAUGUGCAACAUCCUCUUCAUCAUUCCCGUUGCCAGUACCAGCGCCAGCACAAGGGCAGAUUCCACUUCCUCGGGUGCAACCAGCUCCUGCUCAAGCUGCAGCCUCAAAAGUGUCAAAUACUUCAAACAAGUCACAAAAUAGCUCUAAGAAGCAAAAUGCACAAGCAAAUCCUACAAAUGCUCCUUCCUCGAUACAAGCUGCAGCUAUUGCUGCUGGUGGACGAAUCGCCCCAGCAAGCAUCGCCACCGAUUUAUUGAAAGCUGCACAAUCCUCGCAAGCUGUGCACAUAACCCCGAAAGCUAAGCACAUAAGACCUCGAGGAAAAGGAUCUUCAAAAACUUCUACAAGCUCUAAAGCAUCCACUAUGGCUGGUGAGCCUGGAACACAGCCUGGUAGUGCUGAACACCCAGAACUUCCAAACUGCAGUGCCCCUACACCAUCUCCUCCGGUUUUGAUAACACAGUCAAUUGAGCAAGUUAAUGUUGUGUCAGAAGUUGCAGGAGUUAACCCCCCUGAACAAUCUGCUAGUGCACAUUUGUUGGAACCUGAUAGAGCAUUGAGCACCACACCAGUGUCUGGCCCAUGCGACAAUAUGGAGAUGGACGACGACUCUACAUUUUGUGCAGUCACGAUGGAGGACUUGUUUCCUGAAGACGUGAAGCAGCCGGAGAUGGUGAAGCAGCCAGAGAUAGUGAAGCAGUAUGAGAUGAUAGACCCCAAAGCUGAGGAGAGCAUAGAUCCCAAGGAUGCCGACAUGCUGGAGUUCGAUCGCUUUGUUGCCCAAGGAUGCUUGACUACAGAUUGUUUGGAUAAGAGCAAAGGUGUCAAAAUUGCUCCUGGAGCUCAAGGUGCUAUUCCCAGCCAGAAGAAACAGCAACCCACAGUUGUGAAAAGCAUCCCUGCGUCUGCUAGAGCACCAGCAACCGUGAAGAAGACCAAAACUCUAGCUUCACAUGGGGCGACCUUUCCAUCAACAGUCACCUCUAGUGGCCUUGUUGGCACAGGCAAUGCUGGUGUGCUGAGUAAAGCAAUAUAUCGGAAGCCACCUGGCCCAGGCACCACAGGCAAACAAAAUAGGUGCCAAGAAAUUAUGGCCCAGAAGCAGCAUGCUAUGAGCUCAAAUAGUAGUGCACUGGCCAGGAAUGCGGCUCCUGGCGUCGGAACACCAGCCAGGAAUGCGGCUCCGGGGGUUGGAACACCAGCCAGGAAUGCGGCUCCGGGCGUUGGAACACCAGCCAAGAAUAUGUCUCCCGGUGCCGGAACACCAGUUAGGAAUGCGGUUCCAGCCACCGGAACACUAGCUAAAAAUAUGGCUCCUGCCACCGGAGCACCAGCCAGGAAUGCGGCUCCUGGCACUGGAAUAACACCAGCCAGGAGCUUGCUUACCGGCACUGGAACACCACCAGCCAGGAACUCGCUUACCGGCACUGCAACACCACCAGUCAGGACUGCGGCUCCUGGCACUGGAACACCACCAGUCAGGAACCCGGCUCCCAGUGCUGGAACUCCACCAGGCAGGAACUCGCUUACCGGCACCGGAACACCAGCCAGUCGCCAAUAUACCCCAGUGGUGAAUGGGGCUAGCAAGGGGAAUCCACCUGCCAGCCAAUAGCCAGGCGAACAUGUGUGGACAGUGGGGAUUGACAAUGGCACCUCAAGAUGUUCGUUCCCUCUGCAUAUGCUGCCUCUGAAACUGGAGUUGUUUUGACGUGAGGAGAUUUCCUCCAGUGCAUGAACUGAUUGUUGGAUUAGCUGUUAUUGGUAACAGAAGAUGUGUGUAUCAGGCUGCAAGCGGGGUGGGUGGCGGUUGCCCGCCACAAAGCGGGCGCCAGCACAAGAUGCAGGCAUUCGCGUGUUGCCGCCACACUCCACCAGGAUUAGUGCGGGAGCCCGCCACACACCCGCAAAUUGGUGUCCAUAGCUCAGACGUCAGAGUACAGAGGAGCCCCCAGCGUGUACUAGAGCACUAGCGCUUAUAAUUAACGAAAAUGAGAUGUCUAUGUGAUUACCCACAUGACUGGUCUUGCAUCGAGGUAUAGCAGGUGCUUGCUAAUAUAAAUUCAGAUCAUGUUACUAUUUCAUCGGCACGUGCUUGCUAAUAUAAAUUCAGAUCAUGGUACUAUUUCAUCGACACACAUUAUAAUGGGGUGAGGAG